UUUCCAGACUCCUACGGGAGGCAGCAGUGGGGGAUAUUGCACAAUGGGGGAAACCCUGAUGCAGCGACGCCGCGUGUGGGAAGACGGUCCUCUGGAUUGUAAACCACUGUCCCCAGGGACGAAGAUGACGGUACCUGGGGAGGAAGCUCCGGCUAACUACGUGCCAGCAGCCGCGGUAAUACGUAGGGGGCAAGCGUUAUCCGGAUUUACUGGGUGUAAAGGGAGCGUAGACGGAGAAGCAAGUCUGAAGUGAAAGCCCGUGGCUUAACCACGGGACUGCUUUGGAAACUGUUUGACUAGAGUGCUGGAGAGGUAAGUGGAAUUCCUAGCGUAGCGGUGAAAUGCGUAGAUAUUAGGAGGAACACCAGUGGCGAAGGCGGCUUACUGGACAGUAACUGACGUUGAGGCUCGAAAGCGUGGGGAGCAAACAGGAUUAGAUACCCUAGUAA
rnacentral:rRNA from 1 species